rnacentral:miRNA from 1 species
UGCUCUACUCACAUGGGUGCUAAUCCGGUGAAGUUAAGUGAAAGCCAACAUGUUGGGUAAAGUA